rnacentral:rRNA from 1 species
GGGCCCGCACAAGCGGUGGAGCAUGUGGCUUAAUUCGAGGCAACGCGAAGAACCUUACCUGGUCUUGACAUGCCCGUCAUAGUUUUCCGAAAGGAAUUCGUCAGUUCGGCUGGACGGUGCACAGGUGCUGCAUGGCUGUCGUCAGCUCGUGUCGUGAGAUGUUCGUUAAGUCCGGCAACGAGCGCAACCCUCGUUCCUAGUUGCCAGCGGGUAAUGCCGGGGACUCUAGGAAGACAAACCUCGUGUAGAGGUGGGAAGGUGGGGACGACGUCAAGUCAGUAUGGCCCUUACGGACCAGGGCUGCACACGUGCUACAAUGCUUGGUACAAUGGGAUGCAACACCGCGAGGUUGAGCUAA